GAAAAAUACCAAAGCAACUGAGAAAAACCCAGAGCAUUAUAUUCACACACACACACACAAAGACAAACAGAGACAGACAGAUCCUUAACCUUAUUCUCUGCGGAACUGUUGCAGAAAGGGUUGUCCCUUUGGCCUUGAAUGCUCCCGGUUUAACAGGGUUUGCACCAGGUUCCAAGGAAGCAAAGUCAAUGAAUAAAAGAAGGAAAUACAAUUAGAACUACGCAUGCGCAGCCUGAAAAACAAGCUUUUUAAAGUGAGGCAAUACCUCAAACACGCCGAGCAGAUGGACCAAUUACACACCGGCAGUGCUCACAAAGGGGGAACCGACAGAUCAG